rnacentral:RNase_P_RNA from 1 species
GAAGCGCGCCAGACCGCCGCUGGUGCAAUCUGGGAAACCAGGCACUGGAGGAACGUCCGGACUGCACAGGACAGCGUAGCAGCUAACGGCUGCCCACCGUGAGGUGAGGAUCAGAGCAACAGAGACGAGCCGAUUCAGUUCGGGUGAAACGGGCAAUCUCUACGCGCAGCAAUACCAAGUAGGCCAACGUUGAUGUGGUUCCGCAGAGUUGGCGGGUAGGUAGCAUCGAGCCGUGGUGGCGACACCCGGCCCAGAGUAAUGGCGGUCACGCCGCGGGCAACCGCGGUGCACAGAAUCCGGCUUAUCGGUGCGCUUCACAC